rnacentral:lncRNA from 1 species
GUUUGAGGGUCAUCCCCUAGCACCGGGGAGUCACUCAAGGUUUUGCGGCAACAUUGUGUCCGCGAGUGGAGCCGGGACGCGGGAGCCUAGCUCAGCGGGUUCACACGAGCUUCGCAAAGGGGCCGCGAGGUCGAACCGCCGGAGCGCUGGGGGCGCGGGCGGGUGGAGAGGCGCAGGAUGCGUUGUCAUGGAGAUGUCUGUGACGUCACACCGGUCGGGCCGCAAGACCUUCCUUCUCGACCCAGUGGAUGGUCACACUGGGAACAAAAUGGACAUGCCAUUCAGAAGAACUGGGUGACCUUGAUGGAUUCUGAGAGGAGCCUGGGAGCUCUGGAGAGGCCGACCUACACACACAAGUUACCAUGAGAUGUGGCCGCCUCUGAAACUGCUUCUCCCUUUACAGCUUGGUCAACAUUGUCUUGGAGUUACCAGCGUCGCUCCCUCCCAACUCCUCUGCUCUCAGAAGCCGGCCCUCUGGACUUCACCUCCGCCUUCUCUCUUCAGCCUCUGCUCCUGGUUGCUCCUGGACUCCAGGGCCCAGGGCGCCGACCCCCGGGAUUCUGGAGGGAAGCAAGUGACAUGAACCAGCAGGGAGGUGUGUAGUCUC